GCUGGAGAAUUCAGCUGCAGGUGCUCUGUCCCAGCAGACAGGAGGCAGGGGGACAAGGAGGGCUUGUUGCCAUCCCCAGUGCAAUGCAGCAGCUCAAGCAUUAGCAGAGGGACAUGCAUCCUUGGUUAGCAAGCAGAUCCAUGAGGAUGUCUGGAAGCAACCAGCUAGAGGCAGGAUGAGCUGUCUCAAGGAAGAAGAAAUCAAAACAGCCUUUAAAUUACUGGAGGUCAUGUCCUGUUUGAAACAACAACAAGAAAAGAGAGCAGAGUGCUACCUCUCCUGCAGAGACCUUGCUGCCAUGAUCUCUAGCCAAAGAGGUUACAUUAGUUCCAUCUUCAUAGCCCAGGGACUGAGGCUUGAACCCACAAGUCUCUCUUUCUCACUCCUUUAAAGAAACUGCUAACCACUUCCAGGUCAA